CCUACGGGGGGCAGCAGUGGGGAAUAUUGCACAAUGGGGGAAACCCUGAUGCAGCGACGCCGCGUGAGUGAAGAAGUAUCUCGGUACGUAAAGCUCUAUCAGCAGGGAAGAAAAUGACGGUACCUGACUAAGAAGCCCCGGCUAACUACGUGCCAGCAGCCGCGGUAAUACGUAGGGGGCAAGCGUUAUCCGGAUUUACUGGGUGUAAAGGGAGCGUAGACGGCAGCACAAGUCUGGAGUGAAAUCCCGGGGCUUAACCCCGGAACUGCUUUGGAAACUGUGCGGCUGGAGUGCAGGAGGGGUAAGGGGAAUGCGUGGGGUAGCGGUGAAAUGCGGAGAGAUAAGGAGGAACACCGGGGGCGAAGGGGGCUUAAGGGACUGUAACGGACGUUGAGGCUCGAAAGCGUGGGGAGCAAACAGGAUUAGAUACCCCUGUAGUC
rnacentral:rRNA from 1 species